rnacentral:lncRNA from 1 species
AUUGUUGGGAAACAGACAGAGAACCUACCAGGGUGUCCUGACCACGGCAUGAGACCACAGAUGUCACAGGAGGCCCAGGAGCUAGUCCGGGUGAAUGUGUACAGAAACCAUGUAGCUUCACAGACUCCCCUUGGAACUCUACACUCUCCCUGUGCCCACGCCCAGCGCCUUAGCUGAAGUGUCCAGCGGUGGAAGCCAGUGAAGUGUUAGAUUCGGACCGAGGAGCUGGAGGUUUGAAUAGGCUUUAUGCUUACUAGGGCCCUCUUUACUUGAAACAUGGGCUGUAGUCCUAGAGAUGGCUCCGAGGCACACACACUUAUGUGUAUGUGUGUGUGUGUGUGUGUAUGAAUACUUUAUUAUUGGGCUAUACUUGCAGCCCAAGGGGAUAUAUGUCUUGACAUGGAAGUCUCACAGAGAUAGAAGGGUGGACCUAGUUUGAAUGGACGCUACUAGGAACUGAGCCUGGGUUAUCUCAGGAUCACCUUCUCUAUACUGAGAGACUGAACUAUCCCAGGGACAGAGCCAAAGGCCAAGGAAAUCAAAUGCCCUGCCUCAUAAGAAGCUCUGGAUAAUGGGGAAGACCGACAGCAGAGACAAUCCAUCCUAACUGAGCACAUGGCAGCAGAGUUUCCUCGCAGAAUCCUCUUUCUAAAGAACAGUUCUUCAGUAUAGGAACAAGCAAUACGUCCUGUUUAUUCUGUCAACCGUGAUGGACUUUGCUCUUGCUUUCCCCUUUGGCCUGGUGGGAAAAGCUGCUGGGGAAUUUGGGUGCACAAGUCUUUUCCUUUUGCAAGUGAAAAAACAUACAAUUAUGUUUCCAUAGACCCCUGAAGAGGCAAAAUAGGAAGCUGUGAGAAGAGUGUUGGGAGAGGAUUCCCCACGGGAAGCAACACAGAGGAUGAGAAAUGAGCUAGGUUAAAUGUAGGAAGAUGUGUUUCAGCCCCACGGGACUGACAGCCUUGUGGCUGGCUCUAGGAACCCUGGGUAAUUUCAGGAAUGGGAAUGGGCUGGUAUGACUAAGGCAUAGAGAGGAAGGAAGGAAGAGAAGGACACAGGUGGGCUUGCAGGGUGAGCUGCACGCCUACCGAUGGCUUCUGGUAGACUGGUGACAAAUGGGCUUUCCCCUAAGAGUUAUGGUAAGCAAUUAAAGAGUUCUAGGAAGAAAAGCAAAUACCCAAAUAUAGAGAAUAUAGAGGUGUGUGUGUGUGUGUGUGUGUGUGUGUGUGUGUGAGAGAGAGAGAGAGAGAGAGAGAGAGAGAGACAGAGAGACAGAGAGACGGAGACAGAGAGACACACAGAGAGAUAGAGAAAAAGAGAGACAGAAAGAGAGCUGGGGGGGGGGAGAGAGUUAAAUAGAAUUAACUGUGUGAGUAUUCAUAUGAGCAUGCGUGGGAGGUAUGCAGACGUGUGGAGGCCAGAGGUUGAUGUCAAGCGUUUUUCCUGUCACGCUCCACUUUAUUUAUGUAUUUAUGUAUGUAUGUAUGUAUGUAUUUAUUUAUUUAUUUAUUCACUGACAGGCUUUCUCUAUGUCUGUAGCUCUGGUUAUCCUGAAGCUUGCAAUAUAGACCAGAGUAGCCUCAAACUCACAGAGAUUCUCCUGCCUCUGCUACCCAAGUUCUGGGAUUGAAGGCAUGUGGCACUAUACCUGGCUAGUUCUUUAUUUUGAAACAGGAUUUCUCACUGAACUUGGGAGUUCAUUGAUUCAGCUCAGUUGUCUGGUCGAUGAAUUCCAAAGAUCUGUC